ensembl:lncRNA
GAGCAAUGGAAGGAAGGUGUGGAAACUGAAACAGAGGGAGAGAGAGAGAGCUGCAGCCCAUAAAGCAGCUCUAAGCAGAUAAUUUGAAACAUGCUGGAUUACUGAAGGUGUCUACGUGCAUUUUGGAAGGCCUUGGAUUUUGAGGUUGUUAUUUUACCAUCAGCAGACAGUUUGAUGGGGUCAUAUGAGAUAUUUACACAGUGUGAAGUUCAGCCAAAGUCCUGAAAUGAAGCAGGACAUUAACAGUAACUUUAACAAACAAGCACAUACCAAACUGCCAUACCAAGGGAGACACUAAAGGACUGCAUAUAACUACUAUACGGAUCCAUUCAGAAUCACUAAACAAAGCAAAAUACAAAUGAAAAAUAAAAACAUUCUGAAUGUGUGGAAACUCAGCA